rnacentral:misc_RNA from 1 species
AUUUCAUCUGCUGCUUAUAGAGUAACUCUCCCUACUUCCUUCUAUCUACUUCCGGCAAUUCUUUUUUUCUCUGAUGGUGUUAGUUUGAACUAGAAUUAGGAUUGAAUUUAAAGUUAUUUAACUGGAAUUUUCAAGUCUUGACUAGGUGAAUCCUUAAUUACUGAAAUCUUGAACUAACAGAUAGUGGUUGCAGGUAGCUCUUAAAUUAAUUCCUGAU